rnacentral:lncRNA from 1 species
UCAAUUCCAUCAUCUAAGGGAAUUAUGUGCCUAGAUUUGCUAUAAACUAGAUGGAUACUUGGGUUAGCUUUUGGAAUGCCACCAGUACUCCCUCAAGAGAUUCACUUUUUCAAUUCAAGAUUGAUAAUGCUUAUAAAUCUCAAGUUCAUAACCUUGGUGAGGUAAGAAGAGCAGCUGUGAGAAUUAACAAGACCAGAGUUCUGUGCCUGGAUCCGUUCUUCAUCUAUGGGUGACCUCACAAGUCCUCUGCCUCAAUUCUGUCACCGAAAGAAUGACCAUUUUACCUGGUCAGGCCCUGGCAUCGGGUAAGCCUCGGAUCAAAUCUCAUCUCCAUCACUUGUCAGGGAAAAUCCUUAACCAAGGAGCAAGGCAUCUGUCUUUACCAAGGUCAGCCAACCCACUGGCACCAAGACAUCCUUUCCACCACCCCCGACUUGCUGCAGGGCUCAGAUUUCAUCAAGUCCUCUUUAUCAAGUUCCUAUUACAAGGCAGGCAUAGUUAUGCAGAAGAAGAACCAGACAAGGCUGGAGGCAAGACAUAUCCUCGGACAGAUUUCCAGAGAUGGAAGAAGCUCAGAAAGAGCUCAGAGAAAAGGGUCACCAGUUCCAGGGUCUCUAAGAAAGUCAGCCAGGAA